AUGGUAGUCGAGAACUGCCAAAACGUAUGGAAAAUAAUGAAAAACGUUAAUUACUAGCUGUUGCGAAACUGGCAACCCCGCCAGAGCGAAAGCAGAACGAGCGAACGCCUGACGGAACGGGAGAACAAAUGUAGAAACGUCAAGUAUAGAUUGCCCAGGAAAAGUACCUAUACGUAUCGAUGCAAUGACGAUGUGAUUUCUAGUGCGUGGCACAAAUUUAUAUAUAUCUGGAAAAUUUACAUUAUAAAGCGUAGAAUUUGGAUUUUCGGAAGCAUAAGUGGCAGGUGUGCAAUGCACAGGUGGAUGUGAAGUGGAUAAAUGAAUUUAUACACGAUUUUGGUGAAUUUCAGGUCUUAGGUUUGGACCACAUAGCAACACUAGAAUUCUAACCUUCGCUGGACACUCAGAAGUAGUUUAUAGUCAAAUUACCGUGUUCAAUUCAAGGACCGGUGAAAACCAGUUAAAAGCAAAGCUAUUGUUAGGAAUAUUCGUUAAAU